UCCCUCGGGAUGUAAACUUCGCAAGAACGGGAAGAAUAAGUAGGGGACAAUACCCCCUAUGAUGACGGUACCGUUUGUAAGCUCCGGCUAACUCCGUGCCAGCAGCCGCGGUAAUACGGGGGGAGCAAGCGUUGUUCGGAUUUACUGGGCGUAAAGGGCGCGUAGGCGGCCAGCACAAGUCAGUUGUGAAAUCUCCGAGCUUAACUCGGAAAGGUCAACUGAUACUGUGCGGCUAGAGUGCGGAAGGGGCAACUGGAAUUCUUGGUGUAGCGGUGAAAUGCGUAGAUAUCAAGAGGAACACCUGCGGCGAAGGCGGGUUGCUGGGCCGACACUGACGCUGAGGCGCGAAAGCUAGGGGAGCGAACGGGAUUAGAUACCCCGGUAGUCCUAGCCUUGAACGAUGAAUGCUUGGUGUCUGGGGUUAUAAAGUCCCCGGGUGCCGUCGCUAACGCUUUAAGCAUUCCGCCUGGGGAGUACGGUCGCAAGACUGAAACUCAAA
rnacentral:rRNA from 1 species